GACAGAUGAGUUUGUGCAAUGCUGUACCACAGUCUAUAGGGCUUCCACCUUGGUUCGGACUUCCCAAGCCCUUGGCAGGGGCUGCUGCAAUCUCUGCCCCUACAGGAUGUACAGCUCCCACCGGCAGCUUCUUUCAGUGAAAACUGGAUCUCUCGUGGCUACAAAGAGAGAGUACAUAACAAAAUAUCAGUGGGCAUCACAAAGGCUUGGCUUCCCCUCUUCCUCGUCCUGAAGGACACACACAGUAUGAUAAAAUCAAGAGAUUAGAGCCUGCUUAGGGUCAGCCCCUCUGGAAAUUUCCUCAACCUGCCAAGCAUCUCCCAAGUAGGAGUCAGCAGGCUACACCUCCCCAUGACUCCAGCACGACCCACAGGCGCUGAUGAUGGACAGCAGAAUUAGGCACUUCAUCCCAGUACUGCGCCCAGGCAAUGUGAAGAGGUGUGAAACCAUUCUGAAAAUGAGAAAAAACACACUUUUUGAUGCCUCAUGCCAUUCAAAAAUAGAAAUGAGUAUGGAAUUCACAUAAAAGAUUUUUCCAUUUUAAAGGAACAACUCCCAAAUUUAUUUUGGCAUUACUACAUUUUACAUGUAAUAGAAAGUAAAAAUUUAUGAGAAG